rnacentral:misc_RNA from 1 species
UCAAACUUGGUCAUUUAGAGGAAGUAAAAGUCGUAACAAGGUUUCCGUAGGUGAACCUGCGGAAGGAUCAUUAAUGAGUGAUGCGGCCCCUUCGUCUCCCGAGUAAAUCGGGUUGAUGAAGUGCGGUUCCCUCCUCACCCUCUGUUUACGAUGCAAACGUUGCCUCGGUCUCUUUUGCAGGCCGAUGGACCAGCUUAACUCUUGUUUUUUUUGUGAUGUCUGAGUAAAAUAUUAAAAUCUUCAAAACUUUCAACAACGGAUCUCUUGGUUCUGGCAUCGAUGAAGAACGCAGC